GGAGGAAUAUUGGGCAAUGGGGGAAACCCUGACCCAGCAACGCCGCGUGAAGGAAGAAGGCCUUCGGGUUGUAAACUUCUGUGACAGGGGUCGAAAGAAAUGACGGUACCCUGAGAGGAAGCCACGGCAAACUACGUGCCAGCAGCCGCGGUAAUACGUAGGUGGCGAGCGUUGUCCGGAAUCACUGGGCGUAAAGGGCGCGUAGGCGGUUUUACAAGUCACAUGUGAAAUACCAGGGCUUAACUUUGGGGGUGCAUGUGAAACUGUAGGACUUGAGUGUAGUAGAGGUAAGCGGAAUUCCUGGUGUAGCGGUAAAAUGCGUAGAGAUCAGGAGGAACACCGGUGGCGAAGGCGGCUUACUGGGCUGCAACUGACGCUGAGGCGCGAAAGCGUGGGGAGCAAACAGG
rnacentral:rRNA from 2 species